GAUCAUGGCUCAGGAUGAACGCUGGCGGCGUGCCUAACACAUGCAAGUCGAACGAGGUAUUUUGAUUGAAGUUUUCGGAUGGAUUUCAAGAUGCCGAGUGGCGGACGGGUGAGUAACGCGUGGAUAACCUGCCUCAUACAGGGGGAUAACAGUUAGAAAUGACUGCUAAUACCGCAUAAGCGCACAGUACCGCAUGGUACGGUGUGAAAAACUCCGGUGGUAUGAGAUGGAUCCGCG
rnacentral:rRNA from 1 species